rnacentral:rRNA from 1 species
ACGCGGGUGAAUACGUUCCCGGGCCUUGUACACACCGCCCCGUCAAGCCAUGGAAGUUGGGGGUACCUAAAGUAUGUAACCGCAAGGAGCGUCCUAGGGGUAAAAACCGAUAACUGGGGCU